GUCCAGGAAAAUAUGUUUAGUGGACAUGGCAUCUGACCGGUAAGCGGAACACUGUGGGUUCGAUUCCCAUCCCUGAACA